GACGAACGCUGGCGGCGUGCUUAACACAUGUAAGUCGAACGGUGAACCCUCUUCGGAGGGGGAUCAGUGGCGAACGGGUGAGUAACACGUGAGCAACCUGCCCUUAGCUCUGGGAUAAACCAGGGAAACCGGGGCUAAUACCGGAUACGAGACCGCGCGGCAUCACGCGGUCUGGAAAGUCUUUCGGCUAAGGAUGGGCUCGCGGCCUAUCAGCUAGUUGGUGGGGUAACGGCCUACCAAGGCGACGACGGGGAGCCGGCCUGAGAGGGCGACCGGCCACAGUGGGACUGAGACACGGCCCAGACUCCGACGGGAGGCAGCAGUGGAGAAUCUUGCGCCAUGGGCGAAAGCCUGACGCAGCGACGCCGCGUGAGGGAUGAAGGCCUUCGGGUUGUAAACCUCUUUCAGCAGGGAAGAAGCGAAAGUGACGGUACCUGCAGAAGAAGCACCGGCUAACUACGUGCCAGCCGCCGCAGUAAAAC
rnacentral:rRNA from 1 species